GAAUGCCACUGCAGAGGAAAUGCUCCUAACAGUGCUUUGCGCCUAUCAAGACGUGACUCCACAAGACACAGACAAUAUGUCUUCAUCAACGAAGACCAGGGGAAGGGACCUGUGCCUCUUGGGACCAUUUUUUCCAUCCCACUGAUGGAUGCUCAUGAGUGAGGGGCCCUGUUUUCCUGCAGAAAUCCCAAAGCUGAUAUCUCAGAGCCCUGUGUUAAAGGCUAGGAAGGCUGCUGGGAGCACAAGAGCAGCAGGAUGGUCUGGGGGCAAUGCCCGACCCAUCAGGGAAUUGAUUCCUUGCUCUGCACCUCCCUUUGCCUUUCCUGAGAUGAAGCUCAGAGUAUAUCACUGAGCCCUGCAGCCAGCUGCUGUUCAUGGUGACAGCCUCCCACAGCCUGCAACUGCCUGAGCAUACGGCUCUAUCAGGGACACCUUGACUGUGCUCCUUGGAAAGAAAGGUGACACAGUGGUGACACUGUCCCCCUCCUCUCCGUCCCCCUACCAGCAUCCUCUUAGGGAAAAACAACAGCUACACGUGUGACCUGCAAUACCAAAUCAGGUUGUAUCCAUCCCCCAUGCAAAACUCCUGGACUUCUUGGUGUGGUCAGUAAAAGGGUGACAAGCACCAGUCAUUGGAUGCAGUGUUAAGAAGGAAGAGCCAUCCAGAAGGGCUCGAGCCCUUGCUCCUCCCUUUUUUGGACACUUUUGGCCUCUCCUGAGUGCCAUCAGUAAUUUUGCUGUGUCACAACCAAGAAGAGCAAUGGAGGGACGAUGGGAGACAGCCUGACAGCUCCCUUCUCUUUGCUGUGGCCCCAGACCAGAGGGCUUCCCUUUGUGCUCUACAUCAUCACCUCCUGCAAGGCAAGAAUGACAGCUAACACGCCAGGAAACCUGUGGCACAAGCAAUAAACCCUGUCCUGAACAACACAAGCACAAGUGGGCUCCUUUCACAACAUACAGGAAAGCAUCACUAGCACCUGGACCAUAACUACAUCCAGAGGGAGUGAGGGCAUCUUUUAGGCCGUGACAUUCAUCUGCCUUCACCGAGAGACACAAAUAAAUAUGUAUCUAAAUAAAUACAGAAACACACCCAUCAACCAGCAUCUCUCUGUCUCUCUCUCCAGCUUACUCUGCAAUGCUCAGACCCUGGCACUGUGUGCCCUUUGACCUCUUGCCUACAGCACUGAAAAUUUGAGAAUUUCAGAAAUAAA
ensembl:lncRNA